CAGUCCUGCUGUAGUGAAACACAUACAUACACAAUGAUACUUCCUUCAGUCAUUCUGCUUUCAGCCUUGACAUGUGUGUGUUUUGGAGAUGAAAUCACACCAGACAGCACUGAGAAAUCUGCUGCAGUGGGUUCAACUGUUACUUUAUCCUGCAGUUAUUCCUCUGCACAGUCGCUUCAGUGGUACCGUCAGUAUCCCAGAUCAGCUCCACAAUUUCUUGUGCUCAUAAUGGAGAGUGUGAAAGAGAAUAAGACAUCUGAUGUAGAUCCCAGGUUCUCUACUAAGCUCAGAAAAGAAAAACAAGCUACAAAAGAAAUCAACCGUGUGGAUCUGAUCAUCUCCUAUGCUGCGGUAUCAGACUCUGCUCUGUAUUACUGUGCUCUGAGGCCCACAGUCACAGAAAACACAAGAACACUGUACAAAAACCUGAUAGACAGAUGAAGCUGUGUUUAUUUCCAUAAAUGUAGGUAUAUUAUAAAUUCACACUGUAUUAAUAUGAGACAAACUAUAAAACAAUAUAUAAACUGUAUAGUUGCAGCAAUGGUACGAUAAAUUAUGCAUAUUUUUAAAGUUAAUACUAUUAUGA